AAUCAACGCUGGCGGCGUGCCUCAGACAUGCAAGUCGAACGAUUAAAGCUCUCUUCGGAGAGUGUAUAGAGUGGCGCACGGGUGAGUAACACGUAAGUAAUCUACCUUUGAGUGGGGAAUAACAGUCGGAAACGGCUGCUAAUACCGCAUAACGCAGCGGCACCGCAAGGUGACAGUUGUUAAAGGAGCAAUCCGCUUAAAGAGGAGCUUGCGGCAGAUUAGCUGUUGGUAAGGUAACGGCUUACCAAGGCUACGAUCUGUAUCCGGUCUAAGAGGACGGUCGGACACACUGACACUGAAUAACGGGUCAGACUCCUACGGGAGGCAGCAGUCGGGAAUUUUGGGCAAUGGGCGAAAGCCUGACCCAGCAACGCCGCGUGAAGGAUGAAGUAUUUCGGUAUGUAAACUUCGAAAGAAUAGGAAGAAUAAAUGACGGUACUAUUUAUAAGCUCCGGCUAACUACGUGCCAGCCGCCGCAGU
rnacentral:rRNA from 1 species